UACGUAGGGGGCAAGCGUUGUCCGGAAUCAUUGGGCGUAAAGAGCGUGUAGGCGGCCCGAUAAGUCCGCUGUGAAAGUCCAGGGCUCAACCCUGGAAUGCCAGUGGAAACUGUCGGGCUGGAGUCCGGAAGAGGCGAGUGGAAUUCCUGGUGUAGCGGUGAAAUGCGCAGAUAUCAGGAAGAACACCCGUGGCGAAGGCGGCUCUCUGGGACGGUACUGACGCUGAGACGCGAAAGCGUGGGGAGCGAACAGG
rnacentral:rRNA from 1 species